AUUGAACGCUGGCGGCAUGUUUUACACAUGCAAGUCGAGCGGCAGCGCGGGGGCAACCCUGGCGGCGAGCGGCGAACGGGUGAGGAAACCAUCGGAACGUGCCCGAGAGUGGGGGAUAACGCCGCGAAAGCGGCGCUAAUACCGCAUAUUCUCUGAGGAGGAAAGUGGGGGACCGCAAGGCCUCACGCUCCCGGAGCGGCCGAUGUCGGAUUAGCUAGUUGGUGGGGUAAAGGCUUACCAAGGCGACGAUCCGUAGCUGGUCUGAGAGGAUGAUCAGCCACACUGGGACUGAGACACGGCCCAGACUCCUACGGGAGGCAGCAGUGGGGAAUUUUGGACAAUGGGCGCAAGCCUGAUCCAGCCAUGCCGCGUGAGUGAAGAAGGCCCUCGGGUUGUAAAGCUCUUUUGUCCGGAAAGAAAAGCGCCGGGUUAAUACCCUGGUGUCCUGACGGUACCGGAAGAAUAAGCACCGGCUAACUUCGUGCCAGCAGCCGCGGUAAU
rnacentral:rRNA from 1 species